UCCUUCUACCUUUUCCCCUCUUGUCCAGUUAGUGAUGUACUUCUCACUUUUAUAAUGCUUUCUUUUACUCCCUCUUCUAUGACAUUACCAUUGCUUCUGUUUAUCUCUGUUAAAACCUCAUUGCAUUUUAAUUGCAGUUUAUCUAUUUGUCUCUUUCCCUGAGUUAAAAACUGAGUAUCUUGAUGAAAAGAACUUUGUUGUAUCCAUCCAUUUAUUCCCCAUACAUAGCACAUUGUCUGAAGAUGCUUUGUAAAUGUUUGUAGAGUGCAGGAAUAGUAUUAUACAUAUGAAAACACAAAAGUCUGAAGGUGAUAUACAUAUCAAUGAUGAUGCUGCUCUAGGUAUCACAAUCAAUUGUGCUUCUGGUUAGACUGGGCCCCAUGUUUCCUGGCUCCCUCAGUCCAAUGCUCUGCCACUAAAGGGAAUUAAUUUUGGUUCUUAACAAAACAUCUUUUUGUUUUUUUCUUUACAGAUAUUGAUGAUGUUAAGAAGUUCAAACCGGGUUACCUGGAAGCUACUCUUAAUUGGUUUAGAUUAUAUAAGGUACCAGAUGGAAAACCAGAAAACCAGUUUGCUUUUAAUGGAGAAUUCAAAAACAAGGCUUUUGCUCUUGAAGUUAUUAAAUCCACUCAUCAAUGUUGGAAAGCAUUGCUUAUGAAGAAGUGUAAUGGAGGAGCUAUAAAUUGCACAAACGUGCAGAUAUCUGAUAGCCCUUUCCGUUGCACUCAAGAGGAAGCAAGAUCAUUAGUUGAAUCGGUAUCAUCUUCACCAAAUAAAGAAAGUAAUGAAGAAGAGCAAGUGUGGCACUUCCUUGGCAAGUGAUUGAAACAUCUGAAAUUCUGCUGUCAAGAUUCCCAUCUCUAAGGACUCCAAGUGCUAGAGACAAGGGGGUCUAUGAGCAUUUACUGACUUCCUGUUAAAACUUCAUUUUUUCAAACUUUUUGAGCUAUGCAAUAUAUAAAUAAACAGUAAGAAUUUUAAA
rnacentral:lncRNA from 1 species